UACGGGGGGAGCAAGCGUUAUCCGGAAUGAUUGGGCGUAAAGCGUCCGCAGGCGGCUGUGUAAGUCUGCUGUUAAAUAGUGAGGCUCAACCUCAUAAAGGCAGUGGAAACUACACGGCUAGAGUGCGUUCGGGGCAGAGGGAAUUCCUGGUGUAGCGGUGAAAUGCGUAGAGAUCAGGAAGAACACCGGUGGCGAAAGCGCUCUGCUAGGCAGCAACUGACACUGAGGGACGAAAGCUAGGGGAGCGAAUGGG
rnacentral:rRNA from 1 species